rnacentral:lncRNA from 1 species
UCUCAUAACUACGCCAGAAUGUGCUCAAAAUAGAUUGCGCUGUUAACGCAGCAUUGUGAUCGGAAUAACUAGCAUUAUAAUGUCGGCUGUGAAGACUGCAUUCGUUCUCAUGCUCGUCCUAACAGCCAUGAUAAGGAUAACCUCUAGUGCGGGAGGAUUCUUCGCACCGAUGUGUCUGUACAAGCCUUGCCGUGGACCGUUCGACCAGCCUUCAUGCCGACCAAGAUGCCGAUGCGCCCGGGUGAACCACGGCAUAUUCUCGUGCAUCCUAUAGGCUUAUGUUGACAUUAGGGUAACAACAACCUACUACAUCAAGGUGCAGGCUGAAAGGGGAUAUCUCAACUGCGGGAGGUCCGAGAAUCCCAAGGUGUGCGUACAUGCCUUGCCGUGGACGAAGGGACCAGCUAUCCUGCUGGCCUAGUUGCCGAUGUGUCCGGACAUCCCCGGUCGGCAUAUACACCUGCGUCCUACGUUAGCUUGAUCUGUGGGUAACUACAAGCUACCUUAUCGAGAUCCCAACUUUAUGGGUAGGAAAGCUAAAACAAUAAAUAUCACUACGACUCUUCAGAUAAA